GUCUACUUCCGGAAAUGUUGCAUAAAACUAGCAAGUGAGCUUUGUUCUCUGUACAGUUCUCAAGACUGAAAUCUAGGUUUUAGCGAAAAAAAAUGCACUUUUCAAAUUGUGAGAGUAUUUUAAGACCAGCCCUUCAAAUACUGAGUUUUGAGUCGUGUCAAAUAGAUGGCGUGUUGAUUGUGUCAGUUAUGGGCUUAUGGCGGUUUCUUGUCAAAAAUUAAGCUGUCUUUUUUUCGUAAAUUACCAAUCAAUUCAUAGGAGAAAACGUGAAAGAGUCGUGUGGCCGUCGUGCCUACUGUCAACUAUUUUGAUUGUUCAAAAUCAUUGUAUUCUACUAAAAUAUGCCAUCGAAAUGAUACAGGAUUCAUCAUAAUUACCUGCUGUUUGUAUUGGAGUAAUUCGACUUGCUAGAUCACCAGCCCCAGCAUGGACCAUUAUCUCAUUCCAUCUUCUAGAGAACCUUGGAUAACUGAUUGCUGGUUUCAUGUGUUCUAAACUACAGGUUUCUAAAUUGGCAUGACACAGUCAGUCAUGUUGGUAUCAUCAUGUUCUUUCAAGAAAAAGGACAAGGACUAUUCAGUCAACAAAGUUACUUGUUUGCUAACCUGUUGCUGCUACCCUUGAAUCUCCAUUUUUACUUCCUUUACAUGGCCCUCUUGAUUUGAGGGUAAUCCUUCGCUACUUGGCAUGGACAUGGACUUACUUGGCUUGGACUCGUGAAAAUCAACAAGAGAAUGCUGUAAUUCAAGACUGAUAAAUUGUGUAGUUCUUAGAUAAAUUUCAAGUGCAUAUCUGGGCUCCCUUCUUUUCUGUGGCGGCCCCGUUCAAUCGCUCUCGUAAUUAUGUUCCUCAACCCCCCUGCCUUGAUUAGCUGUCUGCAAGUCCUUAUAGAUAGAUCAAUUCUGGUUGUUGGAUUUCCUAAUUCCGCAUCCAGAAUACAACUAUAUGGAACUCGCAAAUAAAGAAAAGCUUUGAACCGGGCGGUCUGUUUAGUAUAUAUUCGUUAUUUCAACACUUUUUGACGAAUUUUAAAUAAAUUAAAUGUUAUGUAAUUAAGUUAA